GGUCAGGGGGCAAGUGAAGGGGAUUCUCAGGACAGGCUUGAGAAGAAGAGCUGCUCAGAAAACGGUCUGCUGUGCCCCGCAGGCUGAGCCGAGCUCGGUCCUCCGUGGAGCAGACAUGGUCAGCCUGCUCUCGGGUCUGUGUCUCUGUUUGGCUUUCAGUCCCACCCAGGAGGACCAGGGUGUGUACCGGUCUGUCGGCGCUCCAGCUCAGGCCUAUUUCGCAGAAACGUUUGAUGCGGACUCGCUGGACAGAAGGUGGGUGCUGUCCCGGGCGGUGAAGGAGGACGAUGCUGACGUUCAUAAAUACGAUGGAGGGUGGGUUGUGGAGGAGCCCGAGAAGCAAGUGCUACUAGGAAACAAGGGCCUUGUGCUCAAAUCUCCAGGUCGCCAUCACGCUAUAGCCGCGUACCUUCGCACGGUGCAUCACUUCAGAGACAAACCCCUCCUUCUGCAGUAUGAGGUUCACUUCCAAAAGGGGAUCGACUGCGGCGGAGCCUACAUGAAGUUGCUCACUCAUUCGGAUGAUCUCCGUUUGAGCCAGUUCAGUGACGUCACCCCAUACAGCAUCAUGUUCGGUCCAGACAAAUGCGGCAGUACUUACAAGGUGCAUUUCAUCUUCCGGCACCGGAACCCUCGGACCGGGAAGUACGAGGAGAAGCACGCUCGGCAGCCUGAGACUGACCUGAGCGAAUACUUCACCGACCGCAAGCCUCACCUCUACUCUCUUAAUUUAUAUCCAGACAACACCUUUGAAAUUCUCAUUGACCAAACGCUGGUCAAGACUGGGAGCCUGCUAGAGGACAUGGAUCCACCAGUGGUGCCUCCUCGUGAGAUAGAAGACCCAGAAGAUACAAAACCCUCCCACUGGGAUGACAGGCGUCAUAUUCCUGACCCCACAGCAGCAAAACCCCAUGAUUGGGAUGAGGAAGCCCCUCGGCUCAUUGCUGACCCCACAGUGCAAAGACCUGCAGGCUGGAUAGAAGAGGAAGGGCCCUUUGUCCCAGACCCAGAAGCUCAGCCUCCACAUGACUGGUCUGUUGAGAUGGACGGGGAAUGGGAGGCUCCUCUGAUCCCUAACCCCGCCUGUGCCGAGGCUGCAGGCUGUGGGCCCUGGAAGCCUCCCAUGGUGCCCAACCCAGCAUUCAAGGGGAAGUGGAGAGCACCUGUGAUUGAUAACCCCAAAUAUCAGGGGAAGUGGCAGCCACGGAUGAUCCCUAACCCAGCGUACUUUGAGGACCCUCAGCCCUUCAGGAUGAGUCCUGUAGGCGCAAUAGGCUUUGAACUGUGGUCCCUUACUGGAGAUGUGCUGUUUGACAACAUCUUGCUGUGUGACGACCUAGAGAUGGCCAAACGCUGGACAGAGGACACCUGGGGACAGAGAAAGACACCGGGGAUUCUGGAGCAGCUGCUGCUUGCCACAGCAAAGCGUCCUUGGCUGUGGGGCGUGUAUGUCUUCACCGUGGGACUUCCCAUCAUCCUUUUUGUCAGUCUCAUGUGGCCUGAUAAGACACACCUACCUACAAACAGAUGGGCUACAAUCUGUACCUAUACCUACAAAGUACAGCUACUGUAUGCAGUGAAGGGAAACAAGCAUUCAGGUACUUUUGAGAUCUACCACCCUGGAGAGUUUAGCUCCAACACACCUGGUUUCUCUGAUAUCGUUGCUUUUUUAGUGACAAAAUGGAAUGUUCAUUCAUUUAUUAUAAUAAAGUAUGCAAUAAUUAAGGAAUAGAGUCACUCGAAGUAAAAAAAAUGUAAAGUCCAAGUCAGUUUAAAGAAGCAUAUAAAUAUGUAUUUAUACAGGGAGAUUCACUCGAAAGAGGCCCCAAAUAUUCUGCUGUAACUCCCGUUAGGACGAAGCAAUCUGAACCAAAAAAAUACACAACAUACCUUGAUGUGUGUGUAAUCGAUUGCAUUGCGAUGCUGGGAAUGAUCAUCAGACACACGAAGGGGUACAGGGGUCAAACGGAGGUUAAACGUUGUGACGGCUAUCUGGUGACUACUGUCCGAUGUUUGAAGCUCCAUAUACAGAGGAGGUCACUGCUUGCUGUUUUGCUCAGGUGGCUUCAUCCUAGAGUUAUUACAGAAUAUUCAGGGCCUCUUUCAAGUGAAUCUCCCUGUAUAUAAACUCUACACGUGUCCAUUUUAUCAGCUCCGUUUACCACACAGGCGCACUUUGUAGCACUAAUGUGUCUGAUCCAAUCGUAUCAACGCAACACUCACUAAGACCACCGCCACAUCGGUGUCACUGAAUGACCCACCAUCCAAACUACCUGCUCUGUGAGGGUCCAUGGGGGUCCUGACCACUGAAGAACAGGGUAUCAGAGAAACAGAUGGACUACAGUCUGUAACUGUAGGACUGCAGUGUCAUAGAGUGGUUAUUGGUUAUUGACUGUAGACACGUUAAUGUGACAUGUUAAUUUGUGCUUACCAGCGAUUUGGCCCCUCGACUGAGGACUACUAUUACAAAAAAUCUGAUGAGCCUCAGCCAGACAGUCCCCAGGAUCCAGAGGGCCACACCGCUCUGACGGGCUCUGGGGCUGAGGUCAAAACCGGCCCGAGAAAAAGGGAAACCAGGAAAGCA